rnacentral:rRNA from 1 species
UNUGACUUGAGUGCAGAAGGGGAGAGUGGAAUUCCAUGUGUAGCGGUGAAAUGCGUAGAUAUAUGGAGGANCACCAGUGGCGAAAGCGGCUCUCUGGUCUGUCACUGACGCUGAGGCUCGAAAGCGUGGGUAGCGAACAGGAUUAGAUACCCUGGUUGUNCACGCCGUAAACGAUGAGUGCUAGGUGUUAGGCCCUUUCCGGGGCUUAGUGCCGGAGCUAACGCAAUAAGCACUCCGCCUGGGGAGUACGACCGCAAGGUUGAGACUCAAAGGAAUUGACGGGGGCCCGCACAAGCGGUGGAGCAUGUGGUUUAAUUCGAAGCAACGCGAAGAACCUUACCAGGUCUUGACAUCCCGAUGCUAUUCUUAGAGAUAGGAAGUUACUUCGGUACAUCGGAGACAGGUGGUGCAUGGUUGUCAUCAGCUCGUGUCGUGAGAUGUUGGGUUAANNNCCGCAACGAGCGCAACCCUUAUUGUUAGUUGCCAUCAUUAAGUUGGGCACUCUAGCGAGACUGCCGGUAAUAAACCGGAGGAAGGUGGGGAAGACGUCAAAUCAUCAUGCCCCUUAUGACCUGGGCUACACACGUGCUACAAUGGUCGGUACAACGAGUUGCGAGCCGGUGACGGCAAGCUAAUCUCUGAAAGCCGACCUCAGUUCGGAUUGGAGGCUGCAACUCGCCUCCAUGAAGUCGGAAUCGCUAGUAAUCGCGGAUCAGCACGCCGCGGUGAAUACGUUCCCGGGCCUNGU